GGACCUAUAGCCUAGUCUGGAUAGGGCAACUGCCUUCUAAGCAGUAGGUCGGCGGUUCAAAUCCGCCUAGGUCCG
rnacentral:tRNA from 1 species